rnacentral:rRNA from 1 species
GAUGAACGCUAGCUACAGGCUUAACACAUGCAAGUCGAGGGGCAGCACAGAGAUAGCUUGCUAUCUUGGGUGGCGACCGGCGCACGGGUGAGUAACGCGUAUCCAACCUGUCCAUUACUCUGGGAUAGCCUUGCGAAAGUAAGAUUAAUACCGGAUGUUGUUAAAAACCCGCAUGAGUUUUUAACCAAAGAUUUAUUGGUAAUGGAUGGGGAUGCGUGACAUUAGGUAGUUGGUGAGGUAACGGCUCACCAAGCCUACGAUGUCUAGGGGUUCUGAGAGGAAGGUCCCCCACACUGGAACUGAGACACGGUCCAGACUCCUACGGGAGGCAGCAGUGAGGAAUAUUGGUCAAUGGACGAGAGUCUGAACCAGCCAAGUAGCGUGCAGGACGACGGCCCUCUGGGUUGUAAACUGCUUUUAGUUGGGAAUAAAAAGAGGGACGUGUCCCUAAUUGUAUGUACCAUCAGAAAAAGGACCGGCUAAUUCCGUGCCAGCCGCCGCGGUAAAAC